rnacentral:rRNA from 1 species
UACGUAGGGGGCUAACGUUGUCCGGAAUCAUUGGGCGUAAAGCGCGCGUAGGCGGCCCGGUAAGUCCGCUGUGAAAGUCAAAGGCUCAACCUUUGAAUGUCAGCGGAUACUGCCGGGCUAGAGUCCGGAAGAGGUGAGUGGAAUUCCUAGUGUAGAGGUGAAAUUCGUAGAUAUUAGGAAGAACACCAGUGGCGAAGGCGGCUCACUGGUCCGGUACUGACGCUGAGGUGCGAAAGCGUGGGGAGCAAACAGG